ACCAAAAUAGCUCAGUUGGGACAGCGUUAGACUAUAGAUCGAAAGGUCCCUGGUUCGAUCCCGGGAUUCGGCA
rnacentral:tRNA from 1 species